rnacentral:sRNA from 1 species
UUUUUUGUUAUAGAUUCGGUCAUUUUGGCUUUUUUGUUUCUUCUGUAUUCGUUGUUGCAAUUAGAAAAUUUUCG